UACGGAGGGUGCGAGCGUUGUCCGGAAUCACUGGGCGUAAAGGGCGCGUAGGCGGCCUGAUAAGUAGGGGGUGAAAUCCUGCGGCUUAACCGCAGGGCUGCCUUCUAAACUGUCAGGCUAGAGCACAGUAGAGGCAGGUGGAAUUCCCGGUGUAGCGGUGGAAUGCGUAGAGAUCGGGAAGAACAUCAGUGGCGAAGGCGACUACCUGGCCUGUUCUUGACGCUGAGGCGCGAAAGCUAGGGGAGCAAACGGG
rnacentral:rRNA from 1 species